AUCAAUUUAUUUUAAUUAUUUUUGAUAAUAUGUAAUUUAAUUAAUAAUGGAAUUAAUAAUGGACUGUUUGCUCCAUGGUGGCGUGAUGAUGCUCGUGGGGUUUGCAUUGGGAUCACAAGAUUUACAAAUAAGUCUGAUAUUGCUCGUGCAGUACUUGAAAGCAUAUGUUUUCAAGUUAAAGAUGUAUUGGACUCAAUGCACAAAGAUGCAGGGGAAAAGGGUGAAAACAGGAAUGAAAAGGGAGAGUUUUUGCUUAGAGUGGAUGGUGGUGCAACUGUUAACAACCUUCUGAUGCAAUUGCAGGCGGACUUGUUGGGAUCCCCAGUUGUGAGACCUGCUGAUAUAGAGACAACCGCUCUUGGAGCGGCCUAUGCUGCUGGUUUGGCUGUGGGGAUUUAGAAAGAGGAGGAGAUAUUUGCUUCUAGAGAAAAGGCUAAGACGGAUACCAUUUUUCGCCCCUUAAUAGAUGAAGAGCUAAGGAAGAAGAGGGCGGAUUCUUGGUUCAAACCCGUGGAAAGGACUUUUAGCUUGGCUGAUCUUUCAAUAUGAAAAACUUCAUGGUGGUGCUGCUGUAUGCCCCUUUUCUUUCCCCUUGGCUUUCCAUUUAAAUGACUAAGAUAAAUCCUUAAUAGAUAAAUUGUUAAUUCCUAUGUUAAUAUUGAUGUGGAUUCUGAAAUAAUAAAUUUGAUUAGCCAGUUGUUUUACCUGCUGAUAUUCUGCACAUCUUCAAACUGAUGCAUUAUUUACUAAAUUAGAAAUCACAUGUUAAUGU